GGCGACCUGGUCCAAUCUCGUCCCUGGAGGGCGGGAACGCGAACUUCCUACCUGCACCUGUGGCAGCAGUGGCCGCCUCCUGGGUUAUUAUUUUUUUCUUCCCGCUGCCCCGGGGUUCUGGCUUCUAGAAUCACUUGGCGAAUAACCAGCAGGUGAGCAGAUGUCUUUUCCCGCGCGGAGGACCGACGCGGUAGGGAGCUUCAAUGCAUCAGAGUGAGCCCCUGAGAUCCCAUCUCCCUGCGGCUCCCGGGCGGCGCUAUCAGGGAAAGGGGACGCGCCGGAGAAUGAAAGGCUACUAGGCGGGAGAGCCUGCCUGGCCAUUCACCUGGGGCAGUGAGCCCGGCACCCACUCGCAGGGGCGGCCUCCGGUCGGAGCCAACCGUACUUCGAGCUCCGGGCUACUGCCGCCGCUGCGCCAGGAAGUUGGAGGAGCCAGGGGAGACCAGCAACAGCAAUCGGCUUAGCUGGACUGCGGCGAUUUCGGCUAGCACACCUUCCAGAAAGAAACCCGACCUCUCCAAGACCGCGCAGAGGGACGCCGCGCCCCGACUUCCAGAUUAACCCAAGUGCACCCCCUCCCGACUCUGCGCGGGGAGAGAGGCGUGGAGCCGCGGGGUCCUGGGAAGCCUGAGCAGCACAAGCCUCUGCUUCGGCGGCUCCCAGCCCGCAGCCCGCUUGCGAGAAGCCGGGGCAGGGCCGGGGUGGACGAGAGAGGGGCCGCUGCCGCUGAGGCCCUUCCCCGCUCGCCGCGCCCCCCGCCACUUGGCCCGCUGGCCAUGGCCGACGGCGGCGGCACCAGCAGCUCGGGCUCCUGGUGGAGUUCGCUAAAGAACAGCAGGAAGAAAAGCAAGGACGCCGCGGGGGGUGCGAAGCCUCCCGCCCAGCCUGACCCCGGGGAACCCGCGGCGCCCGCCCCGCCUGGCCCCGACUGGACAAGCAGUUCCCGGGAGAAUCAGCAUCCCAAUCUCCUCGGGGGCGCCGGCGAGCCCCACAAGCCAGACAAGUUGGGCGGGGAGAAAUCGGGCAACAGCCGCCGAAAUUUGAAGAUCUCGCGCUCGGGCCGCUUUAAGGAGAAGAGGAAAGUGCGCGCCACUCUGCUCCCCGAGGGAGUCAGGUCCUCGGAGGAGGCGAGCUUCUCUGGCGACCCGCACGACGACAAGCAGUAGCCCGAGCGCUCCAGGACUCUCUUCGCACCACGCCUCCCAACCCCCAGGGCUAAGCCCGAGAAUUCUGCCCCGCCCCUGUACUUGGAGUCUCAUCCCACCAAAUUCUGAAUAUUCGCACAAGGCCUCCAGAUUUUAUUUUCCUGGAAAUUGACGUGACAAUUCCGUAUAUCACGACUCAAGGGUGCAUUAAAUAUUUAUUCGUGGUAAGAGAAGAUAACGCAGAGGAAGUUGGCACAAUUUUUUUUUUUUCAAAAAACUUCAAUGGCCACCUUUGCGUCGCCCGUGGGAGUGAGAAGGGUACUUUUGUAAGAGACCUUAGCUCAACUGGAAUUGCACAGCCCUCCACUGAGGAUGGCAUGCUCUGAUUCCGAACUUGCUAUUGGAAAGCAAAUCACAGUGCUAUCUUCAAUGCCUGAGAAAUGCACUUUAGGAGUACUUCUGUAGACAUACCUUAAGAGAAGGGAUGGGAGACAGCAGGAAGCGUUCUUAAGUAGAAGCAUUUUAAAACUGGGAAAUAUGUGACUGAAGUCUCAUCAGGGUGAGCUUUCUGGAUGAGGAAGACUUCACAUCAAUUUUAAGUGGGCCCACCUACCAUCUCUAGACUCUGAUGAAGAAGAGGGAGUCGGGAUCUUGGACUCAGAGGAGCGGUUCGUGGUAAGGGAGGGGAUUGUGGGCUGACCAGCAGUGGGAGUGAAUAGAGCAGACGCUGUCAAAUCAGGCUUUGGAACACCUUCAUAGUAUUUUAAUUUUUGUAGAAGGUAAUCAAAAUUAGAGUGGAUAACUACCCAAAAUACUUCUCCCCUCCCAGGAAGACCAACAGAUUAGAUCUGUACCCAUUUAUAAAAGUAAGCCAGCCAUUGCAUACUUUUAAAAUCUUAUACUAACUCUUUCAUCCAGUUUUAUUGUUUUAAAGAAUUUUUUUUUUCUUAAAAAUUCCUUUAGAUUCACAAAACAUUGGCAUUUUCCUGGGUUCUGUCUAGUUUUGGAUCCCGUCCAAGUCUAUAAUUGCUGCAGAUAAUCAAUAGCAGGCAUAUAGCAGUGGAACUUAUUAACAUGACAUCUUUCCCCACUGUUCUGAAAGAAUUUAAAACCAUGCUAAUGGCAGUUAUGACAAUGAAUGCAAUGCACGAUUGGCAGUUGAGGUUUGUAAUUACAUAGUUUUAAAGCAGUCCUAAUUAUGCAGUGGGAGGAAUGCACUGACUUAAUCCCAACUCAGUGAAAUCAGAAACCAAGAAAAAUUGGUGGGAUAAAAGGAUCAUGAGUAAGAUGAGAUAAUUUGACAAAGUGUCUUGCUGGGAUUUAUGUGCUCUGCAGAUGAUUAAUUACAUUCCCAUAACAUAUAUACAGAUUUUGAAAAUGUU